CAGAGGGUAGUUUAUAUAAAAUAUUAAUUUUGGGGAUUAAUGAAAAGGAAGUUCUUUUCCUCUGA
rnacentral:tRNA from 1 species